rnacentral:ncRNA from 2 species
GAUAUAGUGACUGAAAUCGGUUCUGAUGGGGAGCAGCCAUCAGAUGUAAGGGGGAAAGUCUGGUGUAAAUCCGGCACUGUACCGCAACUGUGAACCGAAAUUAGGUGAGUCAGGAUGCCCGCCGAUAUAACUGAAUAUAC